UACGGAGGGGGCUAGCGUUGUUCGGAAUUACUGGGCGUAAAGGGCGCGCAGGCGGCUGCUCAAGUCAGGCGUGAAAGGCCUGGGCUCAACCCGGGAAUUGCGCUUGAGACUGGGCUGGCUUGAGUGCGGGAGAGGAUGGUGGAAUUCCCAGUGUAGAGGUGAAAUUCGUAGAUAUUGGGAAGAACACCGGUGGCGAAGGCGGCUAUCUGGCCCGUAAUUGACGCUGAGGCGCGAAAGCGUGGGGAGCAAACAGG
rnacentral:rRNA from 1 species